UGGGAUUUAGCUCAGUGGUUCCAGCGCCUGCCUCACAAGCACAAGGACCCAAGUUCGAUUCCUGGUUCCAA
rnacentral:tRNA from 1 species